rnacentral:rRNA from 1 species
GACAGAGGGUGCAAACGUUGUUCGGAAUUACUGGGCGUAAAGCGUGUGUAGGCGGUCCACUAAGUCGGAUGUGAAAGCCCUGGGCUCAACCCAGGAAGUGCACUCGAAACUGGUGGGCUAGAGUAUCGGAGAGGUUGGUGGAAUUCUCGGUGUAGAGGUGAAAUUCGUAGAUAUCGAGAGGAACACCGGUGGCGAAGGCGGCCAACUGGACGAAUACUGACGCUGAAACACGAAAGCGUGGGGAGCAAACGGG